AUAAGUGUAACUGAGCUGUGUGACAUUGUAAUCAAAUACAUACUGCAAAUGAAAAUAGGUUGAGUAUAACUUAUAUACACAUAUAGGCCUAUAUAUAGAUCCGUCUCAGGUUGAAACUUGUAGUUCUGAAGGGGAAGUUGCACAACGUCAGGUAUUGUUUACAUAUGUUUAAUGUUUGCUUUAGUUUGAGGUUGUUAUUGCAUUUCAGAAAAUACUUCUUUUUAAAAC